AUUCAUCCGACGAGUCCUAAAUAGGUCGAAAUGCACGUCCAUGGAU
rnacentral:hammerhead_ribozyme from 1 species